rnacentral:rRNA from 1 species
UACAGAGGUCCCAAGCGUUGUUCGGAUUCACUGGGCGUAAAGGGUGCGUAGGUGGUUAGGUAAGUCCGAUGUGAAAUCUCCAGGCUCAACCUGGAAAUGGCAUUGGAUACUAUCUAGCUUGAGGAGUGGAGGGGGACUGGAAUUCUCGGUGUAGCAGUGAAAUGCGUAGAUAUCGGGAGGAACACCAGUGGCGAAGGCGACUUCCUGGCCUGUUCUUGACGCUGAGGCGCGAAAGCUAGGGGAGCAAACGGGG